GACGAACGCUGGCGGCGUGCCUAAUACAUGCAAGUAGAACGCUGAAGAGAGGAGCUUGCUCUUCUUGGGUGAGUUGCGAACGGGUGAGUAACGCGUAGGUAACCUGCCUGGUAGCGGGGGGUAACUAUUGGGAACGAUAGCUAAUACCGCAUAAAAUUGAUUAUUGCAUGAUAAUUAAUUGAAAGAUGCAACUGCAUCACUACCAGCUGGACCUGCGUUGUAUUAGCUAGUUGGUGAGGUAACGGCUCACCAAGGCGACGAUACAUAGCCGGCCUGAGAGGGGGAACCGCCACAAUGGGACUGAGACACGGCCCAGACUCCUACGGGAGGCAGCAGUAGGGAAUCUUCGGCAAUGGGGGGAACCCUGACCGAGCAACGCCGCGUGAGUGAAGAAGGGUCUCGGAUCGGAAAGCUCUGUUGUAAGAGAAGAACGGGUGGGAGAGUGGAAAGUUCACACUGUGACGGUAUCUUACCAGAAAGGGACGGCUAACUACGUG
rnacentral:rRNA from 1 species